UUAAAAAUUAACUCUUUAAAAGGGCCAGACACGUCGUCCCCUUUGGCUCGAAAAUCGUUUCGUCGUUUCAAGUUUUCUCUGGACUGUGAAAAAAUUGUCUUCCUCUCUUAGAGGCACAUCGCAAGAUAAAACACUGACGAUUCUCUAUCGACUGACCAGGACAACGACUGUUCUCGUUCACGACUGGUCAAAGGACGUGGAUUUACGAAGAUCUUGGAACGAUCUCUUUCCGAGAUUAAAAAACUUCACAAGCACGAUGAGACACACUGGACGCGCGAGACACUGUCUCCAAAAUUAAAAGGAAUUUCCGAGUCGUUCGAGGAUCAAUGAAAUCAAUGCCGUACCGUGUUCGUAUCUCUUUUCACGUCCAAAGGGUCAACACGAAUCGCCAAAGCGUCUUGCGGAUACACUAUGUAGGAUUCGCUAUGCGAAGGCCAAAAAAUCUCUUACUGAUCGUCGCCAGGCGUAUAAAUCGAUCCGCGAUAUCCGAUAUCAUGGACGCUGAAGAUUCGGGCAGAACGAAUAUUUGUUGGUCAGAUUGAAGCGAUUGUCAUCGUCAAGAUUUGCCUGCACGCGAGGGCUGCCCGUGUCGCGAAGGCCGGAUAAAAAGGCGGCAAACGCUUAAGAUCUUUGGUAAAAGCCCGCCUGACAUGAUCGGCGAUGAUCACGUACGCUCAAACAUAUUAUCGUCCGAAGGAGGCAAUAAUCGAGAAAAAUGAACACUGCUGGACCUCGAGUCCACCACGCUCUCGUCGUGAUACCCGUCGGGAUACGGGACGACGAGAGGGCCUUUUCGAUCGCCCUAGAAAGGGAGGGCCGGAGACGCGGUUAAGCUAUCCAGAUAUCCUUAGGCGUCCGAUCGGAAAGUUUGCGCUAUGUAAUCACACGGUCCAUUAAAUAAUAACCACGCUACGAGA